GUAAGAUUUUAUUCAGUGACAACUAUGAUGUUUUUACUUGAUCAUUAAAAAGACUCCCCACCAUGUUAAAGCGGACAGUACAGGACAGAAGCCUCGAAUAACUGUCCUCUGAGAGGCUCCACCCAGCAGCCAAUGGAAAGAGAUACAGAGACUCUCACCCAAACACAGAUGGAGCUUGGGAAGUUUCACAGAGGAAUUGGGGGAAGGAUUGAGGGAUCUGAAGAGGAAAGGGACUUUACAGGACAACCAACAGAGUCAACUAACCUGGACCCUUUGGGGCUCCCAGAGAUUGAAUCACCAACCAAAGAGCAAACACAGGCUUGACCUAGGC
rnacentral:lncRNA from 1 species